UAGCUAGUUGGUGAGGUAAAGGCUUACCAAGGCGACGAUCUGUAGCGGGUCUGAGAGGAUGAUCCGCCACACUGGAACUGAGACACGGUCCAGACUCCUACGGGAGGCAGCAGUGGGGAAUUUUGGACAAUGGGGGCAACCCUGAUCCAGCCAUGCCGCGUGAGUGAAGAAGGCCUUCGGGUUGUAAAGCUCUUUCGGCCGGGAAGAAAUCGCAUGGGUCAAUACCCUGUGUGGAUGACGGUACCGGAAUAAGAAGCACUGGCUAACUACGUGCCAGCAGCCGCGGUAAUACGUAGGGUGCGAGCGUUAAUCGGAAUUACUGGGCGUAAAGCGUGCGCAGGCGGUUUUGUAAGACAGGCGUGAAAUCCCCGGGCUUAACCUGGGAACUGCGUUUGUGACUGCAAGGCUAGAGUACGGCAGAGGGGGGUGGAAUUCCACGUGUAGCAGUGAAAUGCGUAGAGAUGUGGAGGAACACCAAUGACGAAGGCAGCCCCCUGGGUCGAUACUGACGCUCAUGCACGAAAGCGUGGGUAGCAAACAGGAUUAGAUACCCUGGUAGUCCACGCCCUAAACUAUGUCAACUAGGUGUUGGGUGGGUAAAACCAUUUAGUACCGUAGCUAACGCGUGAAGUUGACCGCCUGGGGAGUACGGCCGCAAGGUUAAAACUCAAAGGAAUUGACGGGGACCCGCACAAGCGGUGGAUGAUGUGGAUUAAUUCGAUGCAACGCGAAAAACCUUACCUACCCUUGACAUGCCAGGAACUUGCCAGAGAUGGCUUGGUGCCCGAAAGGGAGCCUGGACACAGGUGCUGCAUGGCUGUCGUCAGCUCGUGUCGUGAGAUGUUGGGUUAAGUCCCGCAACGAGCGCAACCCUUGUCGUUAAUUGCCAUCAUUUGGUUGGGCACUUUAACGAGACUGCCGGUGACAAACCGGAGGAAGGUGGGGAUGACGUCAAGUCCUCAUGGCCCUUAUGGGUAGGGCUUCACACGUCAUACAAUGGUCGGUACAAAGGGUUGCCAAGCCGCGAGGCGGAGCCAAUCCCAGAAAGCCGAUCGUAGUCCGGAUUGCAGGCUGCAACUCGCCUGCAUGAAGUCGGAAUCGCUAGUAAUCGUGGAUCAGCAUGUCACGGUGAAUACGUUCCCGGGUCUUGUACACACCGCCCGUCACACCAUGGGAGCGGGUUCCGCCAGAAGUAGGUAGCCUAACCGCAAGGGGGGCGCUUACCACGGCGAGGUUCGUGACUGGGGUGAAGUCGUAACAAGGUAGCCGUAGGGGAACCUGCGGCUG
rnacentral:rRNA from 1 species